GUAGGCGUCUGGUAGAACAGUAGUCCUGUGUCUCAGCCUAUGCCACUAGGUUCUCAAGAAUUGCAGAAGGUAGGACGAACAACUGUUUCAUGCCAGUAAGCAGUCAACAGAUAAACACCACCAUCUGGUGUGGUGAAGGUCCCCAGCUCACCCUCUCCCGUCCUGCCCACCCUGGAGAUGACUUUCAGUCCAGAACAAAAGAACAGGGCUGACUUAGAAUAGAGGUGGGAGAGACUUUAAUAAAAAUAGUUUCUCACAGAGUGCUUUCCCCCCACACUAAGGCAGUGUUGCUGGAAACAGAGUGUUUUUCAAAUGCUUAUAUCUGAAAACAGGUAAACCCAUGCAUCAUGGGGGUCCAGAAAGAAACCAGUACGACU
rnacentral:lncRNA from 1 species